rnacentral:rRNA from 1 species
AACGAACGCUGGCGGCAGGCUUAACACACGCAAGUCGAGCGCACUCUUCGGAGUGAGCGGCGGACGGGUUAGUAACGCGUGGGAACGUGCCCUUUUCUAAGGAAUAGCCACUGGAAACGGUGAGUAAUACCUUAUACGCCCUUUGGGGGAAAGAUUUAUCGGAGAAGGAUUAGCCCGCGUUAGAUUAGGUAGUUGGUGGGGUAAUGGCCUACCAAGCCUACGAUCUAUAGCUGGUUUGAGAGGAUGAUCAGCCACACUGGGACUGAGACACGGCCCAG